rnacentral:rRNA from 1 species
GACGAACGCUGGCGGCGUGGAUUAGGCAUGCAAGUCGAACGGUAUCAUCCUUUCGGGGGUGAGAGAGUGGCGAACUGGUGAGUAACACGUAGGUUAUCUACCCUCAAGACGGGGACAACCCAGGGAAACUUGGGCUAAUACCGGAUGUGAGCAACUUUUAGUUGUUUGAAAGGUGGCGUAAGCUGUCGCUUGGGGAUGAGCCUGCGUCCUAUUAGUUAGUUGGUGAGGUAACGGCUCACCUAGGCAAUGAUAGGUAGGCGGCCUUAACGGGUGGUCGCCCACACUGGGAUUGAGAUACGGCCCAGACUCCUACGGGAGGCAGCAGUCGAGAAUAGUCUACAAUGGUCGGAAGACUGAUAGUGCGACGCCGCGUGAACGAUGAAUCCCUUCGGGGUGUAAAGUUCUUUUAUAUGUGAGCAGUGCUUCUUAUAUUAACAGUAUGGGGAGAGAGAUAUUAGCAUAUGAAUAAGCAACGGCUAACUCCGUGCCAGCAAGCCGACGGU